rnacentral:tRNA from 1 species
GCUACCGUAGUUACUUA